rnacentral:rRNA from 1 species
AUUGGGACUGAGAUACGGCCCAGACUCCUACGGGAGGCAGCAGUGGGGAAUAUUGCACAAUGGGCGCAAGCCUGAUGCAGCGACGCCGCGUGCGGGAUGACGGCCUUCGGGUUGUAAACCGCUUUUGACUGGGAGCAAGCCCUUCGGGGUGAGUGUACCUUUCGAAUAAGCACCGGCUAACUACGUGCCAGCAGCCGCGGUAAUACGUAGGGUGCAAGCGUUAUCCGGAAUUAUUGGGCGUAAAGGGCUCGUAGGCGGUUCGUCGCGUCCGGUGUGAAAGUCCAUCGCUUAACGGUGGAUCCGCGCCGGGUACGGGCGGGCUUGAGUGCGGUAGGGGAGACUGGAAUUCCCGGUGUAACGGUGGAAUGUGUAGAUAUCGGGAAGAACACCAAUGGCGAAGGCAGGUCUCUGGGCCGUCACUGACGCUGAGGAGCGAAAGCGUGGGGAGCGAACAGGAUUAGAUACCCUGGUAGUCCACGCCGUAAACGGUGGAUGCUGGAUGUGGGGACCAUUCCACGGUCUCCGUGUCGGAGCCAACGCGUUAAGCAUCCCGCCUGGGGAGUACGGCCGCAAGGCUAAAACUCAAAGAAAUUGACGGGGGCCCGCACAAGCGGCGGAGCAUGCGGAUUAAUUCGAUGCAACGCGAAGAACCUUACCUGGGCUUGACAUGUUCCCGACAGCCCCAGAGAUGGGGCCUCCCUUCGGGGCGGGUUCACAGGUGGUGCAUGGUCGUCGUCAGCUCGUGUCGUGAGAUGUUGGGUUAAGUCCCGCAACGAGCGCAACCCUCGCCCUGUGUUGCCAGCACGUCGUGGUGGGAACUCACGGGGGACCGCCGGGGUCAACUCGGAGGAAGGUGGGGAUGACGUCAGAUCAUCAUGCCCCUUACGUCCAGGGCUUCACGCAUGCUACAAUGGCCGGUACAACGGGAUGCGACCUCGUGAGGGGGAGCGGAUCCCUUAAAACCGGUCUCAGUUCGGAUUGGAGUCUGCAACCCGACUCCAUGAAGGCGGAGUCGCUAGUAAUCGCGGAUCAGCAACGCCGCGGUGAAUGCGUUCCCGGGCCUUGUACACACCGCCCGUCAAGUCAUGAAAGUGGGUAGCACCCGAAGCCGGUGGCCCAACCUUUUGGGGGGAGCCGUCUAAGGUGAGACUCGUGAUUGGGACUAAGUCGUAACAAGGUAGCCGUACCGGAAGGUGCGGCUG